UCAAGGACAAGUCUGUUGCACCUACUCCCAAUCCGUCCGCUGCUCCUGUCUUGGCUAUUGGUCAAGGGAAGGGAAAGAAGAGGAAAGCUUCAUCGAAGAACUAUCGCAAGGCGAAAGCCCGAGAUGGUGCCUCUUCUAGUGGGACCAAAGUUGAUCCCGCUAAGCCCUGCUCUAACCCGAAGGAGGCAGAGUGCCACCACUGCCACAAGAUAGGACAUUGGAAGAGAAGCUGCCCGGAUUACCUGCAAGCGAUCAAAGAAGGAAAUAUCAAGCCAUCUUUCGCAGGGACUAAGAAGAAGUAGGGAUGUGGAGCAAGGAAGGAUCAAUCUAAUCAUGGGGAACAGAAGAUCGUCGCCUGUGACCAAGAUUGGAGUGUAUUCUUUAGUGCUUAGGAAUAAUUUGUGUUUAGAUUUGAACAAUUGUUGCUAUUCGCCAGAAAUGGCUAGAAACAUCAUUUCAUUUCAUGGUUUAUAUAGACAAGGAUUUAGAUUUUCUUUUAAUAAUGAGAAUGGUUCUAUUU